GAUGAACGCUGGCGGCGUGCUUAACACAUGCAAGUCGAACGGAAAGGCCCUGCUUUUGUGGGGUGCUCGAGUGGCGAACGGGUGAGUAACACGUGAGUAACCUGCCCUUGACUUUGGGAUAACUUCAGGAAACUGGGGCUAAUACCGGAUAGGAGCUCCUGCUGCAUGGUGGGGGUUGGAAAGUUUCGGCGGUUGGGGAUGGACUCGCGGCUUAUCAGCUUGUUGGUGGGGUAGUGGCUUACCAAGGCUUUGACGGGUAGCCGGCCUGAGAGGGUGACCGGCCACAUUGGGACUGAGAUACGGCCCAGACUCCUACGGGGGGCAGCAGUGGGGAAUAUUGCACAAUGGGCGGAAGCCUGAUGCAGCAACGCCGCGUGCGGGAUGACGGCCUUCGGGUUGUAAACCGCUUUCGCCUGUGACGAAGCGUGAGUGACGGUAAUGGGUAAAGAAGCACCGGCUAACUACGUG
rnacentral:rRNA from 1 species